GAUGAACGCUGGCGGCGUGCCUAAUACAUGCAAGUCGAGCGAACGGACGAGAAGCUUGCGUCUCUGAUGUUAGCGGCGGACGGGUGAGUAACACGUGGAUAACCUACCUAUAAGACUGGGAUAACUUCGGGAAACCGGAGCUAAUACCGGAUAAUAUUUUGAACCGCAUGGUUCAAAAGUGAAAGACGGUCUUGCUGUCACUUAUAGAUGGAUCCGCGCUGCAUUAGCUAGUUGGUAAGGUAACGGCUUACCAAGGCAACGAUGCAUAGCCGACCUGAGAGGGUGAUCGGCGACACUGGAACGGGGACACGGUCCAGACUCCUACGGGAGGCAGCAGUAGGGAAUCUUCCGCAAUGGGCGAAAGCCUGACGGAGCAACGCCGCGUGAGUGAUGAAGGUCUUCGGAUCGUAAAACUCUGUUAUUAGGGAAGAACAUAUGUGUAAGUAACUGUGCACAUCUUGACGGUACCUAAUCAGAAAGCCACGGCUAACUACGUG
rnacentral:rRNA from 1 species